UGGAGACUGAGGAGGGGGUGGCCGAGCUUCAGCACUGGUGUUUGUUCCAAAGGGGAAAUUACAGGAAGAAAAACAAACAUGGCCAGCCAGAUUGGAAGUUCAGUUCGCGCAGCAUUGGGGCGCUAGAGGGGCAGGGUGUGUGUGCGCGUGUGUUAGCGUGUGUACAUGCCUGUGGGCGCCACUGGGUUUGCCUUCUCAAAAUAAGGGCUGCUCAGUGGAAAGAUGUCAUAAGCCGGGCUGGGGCGGCCAGGGGAUGGGCCAGCCAGGGAGGGCCGAGGCUGGCGCCCAGGCCUGCUCAUGAGGUCAGGCAAAGGCCGGGUGUCAGAGUAAGGGAGGACUGCCAAGGCCUGUUAGCCAAGGACAUGUCGGGACAGGAUUCUGAAGAACAAGGGAGAAAAGCCCCGAGGGACACCGUGACAGGACCACACCUGGGGUGUGUCGUCAGCCUGCCUCCCUGCCAUUCCUUCCCCCUGCUGGAUUGGGCUUCAUCUGACUGGCUCCUAAGGAGCUGAACUUCAGAUGGCCAGCCUGCAAGCUUCUCUUUGUCCAGUGUAGCUCAGGCUGCAGGGCUGUGAGUUCCAGGCCAGCCUAGGCGACAUAAAACCUGAAAGAAAGAAGAGGAGGACCAGGCAGAGACGAAGAUGAGGAAGACAACACAGUGAAGGUGAAGCCCUUCUGCUUGCUUGGCAUUCUCCCUGUGGACUGAGCUCUGCUCUGCUGCCCUGCCUCUGGACAGCAUCGCAUCUUCAUGUAGAGAGGCAAAGGAAGACCCCUGGCUCCAGCUCCUCUCUUCAGAUCAUCAGAUGGCCACCCGAGCUGUCUCUUUGUGCUAAAUAUGGAUCCCAAAGAGCUCUGGUGAAGGAGACAAGUAUGCAGAUGCCAUCACAUGACCCAAAACUUAGCACCUGCUCCAGGAUGUGGGCAGGGCGUGGCCACCUAGAAGAGGCUAGGAGCAAGCAUACCUCAGACCACCCUCCACCCCUGCCCCAGAGCAGAGAGAUGGGAAGGAUACAGGAUGCAUUUGGUUAAGCAUGAGAUCAUGUUAACCUCCCAUCUCUAAGAUGCUAAACAUCUGGCCGAAAACAAGAGCAGUGUAACCGAACAUCUGGAUACUCGCUCUGCACAGCACGGAACAGCUGCACGCUUGGCAGCAAUCUGCGUGAGGAACUGAUGGGGGUCUCCUCUGUGUGCUUAACAUCACAUUCAUGCUUUCCUUUGCCUUGUAACCAAAAACCAGACCUAAACUGGUUUAAAUUUUAAAAGGGAAAUGCUUAGCUUACUGGGCUGAGGAGCCCCAGGACAAGGUCGACUUUGGCUCUUGGAAAGUGUUAAUCUAGCCGCUGAGUAGAAUCCCCACGGACUCUGUUUCUCAGUUCCCUGCCGUCACCUUUGCCGCCUCCCUGCCCCAGACAGGGUCCCCUGGGUGGUCCCACACAGACCGCCAGAAGCCUGCUCUUGUUCACGUCAGAAAAGUGGGAUCACAUUUACCCCAGCAUUGCCAGCAAAGGCCUCGGCGUCUAUUCUGAUCGGGCAGGACUGGGUCACACAUCACACAUCUGAUCGGGCAGGACUGGGUCACACAUCCCGGCGGAUCCAGUCUCUGUCACCAGAGGUUCCUGGAUGCUGGCUUAGUUGUCUGCUCCAGCUGAGAAACAGAUGGAAGCAGCAUCUUCAGAACUUCCAGAAUCGAGCUGGAGAGUGAGAGGGAGAGGCAUGGGACGCGGGUACAGAAGAGGAUGGGACACCUCCAGCCCGCCACAGGGGUGGGGCUAAGAUGAGGCACCUGAGGAGCUAAGGAUACAGCUGAAAGUGUCACCCCCCUCACCAGAGACCGUGAGCUGACUCUGCCCUUCUUAUUGUCAGUUUUCUAAAAUGCAUCCAGUUAGUUAGUAUGUAGGCAUGCAUGUGGCAUGGUACGUGUGGAGAGAUCAGCUGGCAACUCACAAGAGUUGGUUCUCUUUCCCCACAUGUGGGAGCUGACUGAACUCAGGUCAUCCAGAGUGGGGGCAGGUGCUUUUAUCUACUAAGCCGGUAGUUCUCAACCUUCCUAAUGCUGAGACCCUUUAAUACAGUUCCUCAUGUUGUGGUGAACCCCAGCCCCAAAAUUGUUUUGUUGUUAGUUACCUCGUAACUAUAAUUCUGCUGCUGUUUUGGGUGGUAACGUCAAUAUCUGAUGGGUGGGAUAUCUGCUAUGUGAGGUUGCGACCCACAGGUUGAGAACCACUGCACUAAGCCAUCUUACAGGCCUGACUUGGGCCUUCUAAAAUCCUGAGAGUGGUGUACCCCCUCCCACUAUGUACCCCAGCUGUACCAUGGGCUUCCCUCAGUGCCAGCCCCAACUGACUUCACAGCAGACUCUCCAAGACUUGCUGACUUGAAACAAAAAACAUUGGUUCUGUGGAGGAUUCUGUGGGCCAGGAAUCUGAGAGUAGUUUAACUGGGAGAAGUGGCUUGGGGUCUGUCGUGAGGUGCAGUCCCGAUGUCAGCGGGGGCUUCAGUCAUCUGAAGGCGUUGCUGGGCUGGAAGAUCAACUUCUAAAAUGGCUGUUGGCAGAAGGUCCUGGUCCCACCCCCAAAGGGCUACUGAUAUAUAUGCCUCAUGGUGUAUGGUAGCUGUCUCCCCCCAGAGCAAAUGAUAUGAAAGAGAAAGGAAUAAGCUAUAUUUCCUUUAUGACUCCCUCUUAAAACUCACACCCUGAGCCGGGCAUGGUGGUGCACACUGUUAAUCCCAGCACUCCAGAGGCAGAGGCAGGCAGAUCUCUGAGUUUGAGGCCAGCCUGGUCUACAGAGUGAGUUCCAGGACAGCCAGUGUUACACAGGAAAACAGUGUCUCAAAACAAAACAAAACAAAACAAAACAAAUGAAGCCAUGCCCCAUCUCUCAGCUACUGUCAGUUAGAAGUCACUGAAUCCAGUUGCAAUCUGCCUUCUGAAAGGAAUGCCAAGGAGUUUGUAGACCUCUUUAGAGGUGCCAUGUGAGGAAAUGACAACAUGGGUGGAUCACUAUAGGUGCCCUGAGGACAUGGUAGUGCACACAUGUAAUCCUAGCACUUGGGAAACGGAGAGAGAAGGAUUGCAAGUUCAAAGCCAACCUGGCUACUUGGUAAGACCCUGCUUCAAAAAGCAGGGAGGUCUUGGGACUGGGGCUGUAACUCAGUCAAUUGUAGAAUGCCUGCCCAGCAAUUGAACAAAUAAAACUCCCAGGGCUAGAGGGAUGGCUCAGCGGUUAAGAGCACUGGCUGCUCCUCCAGAGGACCCGGGUUCAAUUCCCAGCACCACAUGGCAGCUCACAACUGUCUGUAACUCCAGUUUCAGGGGAUCCAAAAUUUUCCAUGGCAAAACACUAACAUACAUAAAAUAAAAAACAAAACAAAUAAAGCUCCUAAAUACUUGAAUUAUGGCUACUUUACCUCCCACUGUCUAAGGCCUAGAUAACAUAUUUUGAUUCUUUCUUAUUUUUUUUUUUAAGAUUUACUUAUUUUUAUUUUAGGUGUGUGGGUGUUCUGCCUGCAUGUAUGUCUGUGCACUACAUGCAUACCUGGUGCCCAGGGAGCCUAGAAGAAGACAUCAGAUCCUCUGGACUAGAGUUAUAAACAGUUGUGAUCUACCAUAUGGGUGCUGGGAAUUGAACCUGGAUCCUCUGGAAGAGCAGUCAGAACUCUUAACCAGUGAGCCAUAUCGCCAGCCACACAUUUUCAUUUCGUGUGCCAACCACUUGAUUGGUUCAACCGAGAAAGUGCUAUACUUCAUUGAUUACUAAUGUCUGCCCUCGACCAAACCAACACCCAUUGUUCCUUACUUCUUUGAUAACAGAACAAAGAAAAGCAGAACUUUGUUCUUGCUCAUGAUCCAGCCUUAAUGUGCUCAGAGAAAGUGAGUUCUAGACGAUGCCUCAUGAUCCGGUGAAACUCUCCACCCCGUGGGAAAGGGUAGGCCCAUUCAUUCUUACCCGUGGUUGACUUAGGGAAGAAGAUGUACCCAGUCUAGUCAAGAUAGGGGCAAUCCUGGUAGAAAUGUUCUGGGAAAGGAAUGCCCUCCAGAUAAAAUAAAACUGGUGAGGAGACUACCUCCUUUGAAAGCAAUCUGGGGCCGAGGGGAGGCGUGGCAGCACACAGCUGCCAUAGCAGCAUUCACAGCAGAAGUAGGAUCCUUCGUGCCUAAAAACAAAGAAAACUGGCUGGGGGAGCUGCCUUUGUCAGUAGAGUGCUGCCAUCCAGGCAUGAGGACCGGCAGUCAGCCCCCCUGAGCUGUAAGCACAGUGGUACGGCACCUGUUGUCUCAGGGCUGGGGAGGAAGAAGCAGGAAGAUCAGAGACAGGACUGGCUUGCUGGUCAGCCACGCUAAAUUAAUUUGCAAGUUCUAGAUGUGAUGAGAAAUCCCAUCUCCAAGAAUUAGGUGUGGAGACUGGGGAGAGGCUCAGCAGUGAAGAGCACUGGCUGCUCUCCCAGAGGAUCUGGGUUCCAUUCUUAGCACCCACGUGCACGGCAUCUCACAACCAUUUGUAACUCAAGUUCCAGAUGAUCCGACACCCUCUUCUGGGACCAGGCACGCAUGUCUUACACUGACAUACAUUCAGGCAAAACACUCAUACGCAUAAAAUCAAAUUAAAACAAAUUAAAUUAAAUUUGAAUUUAAAUUAAGGUGUAGGGUGAUAGAAGAAUUCUGCUGACCUUCCCUGCACCCCGACACACGUGAACACGGCUGUACACACAUGCAGACACUCAGAAAAUUCAGAUCUAAAGGGCUUACAAG